UGUGUAGGCGGUUGCUUAAGUUUGGUGUGAAAUCUCCCGGCUCAACUGGGAGGGUGCGCCGAAUACUGAGUGACUCGAGUGCGGGAGAGGAAAGUGGAAUUCCUGGUGUAGCGGUGAAAUGCGUAGAUAUCAGGAGGAACACCGGUGGUGUAGACGGCUUUCUGGACCGUAACUGACGCUGAAACACGAAAGCGUGGGUAGCAAACAGGAUUAGAUACCCUGGUAGUCCACGCCCUAAACGAUGCACAUUUGGUGUGAGUCAUUCAGUUGAUUCGUGCCGGAGCUAACGCGUUAAAUGUGCCGCCUGGGGAGUACAGUCGCAAGGCUAGAA
rnacentral:rRNA from 1 species